AGGUAGCCUAGUGGUUAGAGUGUAGAGGAGGCAGGUAGCCUAGUGGUUAGAGUGUAGAGGAGGCAGGUAGCCUAGUGGUUAGAGUGUAGAGGAGGUAGGUAGCCUAGUGGUUAGAGUGUAGAGGAGGCAGGUAGCCUAGUGGUUAGAGUGUAGAGGAGGCAGGUAGCCUAGUGGUUAGAGUGUAGAGGAGGCAGGUAGCCUAGUGGUUAGAGUGUAGAGGAGGCAGGUAGCCUAGUGGUUAGAGUGUAGAGGAGGCAGGUAGCCUAGUGGUGAGAGUGUAGAGGAGGCAGGUAGCCUAGUGGUUAGAGUGUAGAGGAGGCAGGUAGCCUAGUGGUUAGAGUGUAGAGGAGGCAGGUAGCCUAGUGGUGAGAGUGUAGAGGAGGCAGGUAGCCUAGUGGUUAGAGUGUAGAGGAGGCAGGUAGCCUAGUGGUUAGAGUGUAGAGGACGCAGGUAGCCUAGUGGUUAGAGUGUAGAGGAGGCAGGUAGCCUAGUGGUUAGAGUGUAGAGGAGGCAGGUAGCCUAGUGGUUAGAGUGUAGAGGAGGCAGGUAGCCUAGUGGUUAGAGUGUAGAGGAGGCAGGUAGCCUAGUGGUUAGAGUGUAGAGGAGGUCGGUAGCCUAGUGGUUAGAGUGUAGAGGAGGUAGGUAGCCUAGUGGUUAGAGUGUAGGGGAGGCAUGUAGCCUAGUGGUUAGAGUGUAGGGACGGCAUGUAGCCUAGUGGUUAGAGUGUAGGGGUGGCAGGUAGCCUAGUGGUUAGAGUGUAGAGGAGGUCGGUAGCCUAGUGGUUAGAGGGGAGGCAGGUAGCCUAGUGGUUAGAAUGGAGGGGCAGCAGGUAGCCUAGUGGUUAGAGUGGAGGGGUGUCAUUUAGCCUAGUGGUUAGAGUCUAGAGGUGGCAGGUAGCCUAGUGGUUAGAGUGUAGAGGAGGUAGGUAGCCUAGUGGUUAGAGUGUAGAGGAGGCAGGUAGCCUAGUGGUUAGAGUGGAGGGGCGGCAGGUAGCCUAGUGGUUAGAGUGGAGGGGCGGCAGGUAGCCUAGUGGUUAGAGUGUAGAGGAGGUAGGUAGCCUAGUGGUUAGAGUGUAGGGGCGGCAGGUAGCCUAGUGGUUAGAGUGUAGAGGACGCAGGUAGCCUAGUGGUUAGAGUGUAGAGGAGGCAGGUAGUCUAGUGGUUAGAGUGUAGAGGUAGCAGGUAGCCUAGUGGUUAGAGUGUAGAGGAGGCAGGUAGCCUAGUGGUUAGAGUGUAGAGGAGGCAGGUAGCCUAGUGGUUAGAGUGUAGGGGUGGCAUGUAGUGGUUAGAGUGUAGGGACGGCAUGUAGCCUAGUGGUUAGAGUGUAGGGACGGCAUGUAGCCUAGUGGUUAGAGUGUAGAGGAGGCAUGUAGCCUAGUGGUUAGAGUGUAGAGGAGGCAUGUAGCCUAGUGGUUAGAGUGUAGAGGAGGCAUGUAGCCUAGUGGUUAGAGUGUAGAGGAGGCAUGUAGCCUAGUGGUUAGAGUGUAGAGGUGGCAGGUAGCCUAGUGGUUAGAGUGUAGAGGUGGCAGGUAGCCUAGUGGUUAGAGUGUAGAGGAGGCAGGUAGCCUAGUGGUUAGAGUGUAGAGGAGGUAGGUAGCCUAGUGGUUAGAGUGUAGAGGAGGCAGGUAGCCUAGUGGUUAGUGUGUAGGGGUGGCAUGUAGUGGUUAGAGUGUAGGGACGGCAUGUAGCCUAGUGGUUAGAGUGUAGAGGAGGCAUGUAGCCUAGUGGUUAGAGUGUAGAGGAGGCAUGUAGCCUAGUGGUUAGAGUGUAGAGGAGGCAUGUAGCCUAGUGGUUAGAGUGUAGAGGAGGCAUGUAGCCUAGUGGUUAGAGUGUAGGGGGGCAGGUAGCCUAGUGGUUAGAGUGUAGGGGGGCAGGUAGCCUAGUGGUUAGAGUGUAGAGGUGGCAGGUAGCCUAGUGGUUAGAGUGUAGAGGAGGCAGGUAGCCUAGUGGUUAGAGUGU